UACGUAGGGGGCAAGCGUUAUCCGGAUUUACUGGGUGUAAAGGGAGCGUAGACGGUGAAGCAAGUCUGGAGUGAAAACCCGGGGCUUAACCCCGGGAUUGCUUUGGAAACUGUUUAACUGGAGUGCAGGAGAGGUAAGCGGAAUUCCUAGUGUAGCGGUGAAAUGCGUAGAUAUUAGGAGGAACACCAGUGGCGAAGGCGGCUUACUGGACUGUAACUGACGUUGAGGCUCGAAAGCGUGGGGAGCAAACAGG
rnacentral:rRNA from 1 species